GGGUUGUGAGGUUAAGCGACUAAGCGUACACGGUGGAUGCCCCGCAGUCAGAGGCGAUGAAGGGCGUGCUAAUCUGCGAUAAGCGCCGGUAAGGUGAUAUGAACCGUUAUAACCGGCGAUACCCGAAUGGGGAAACCCAGUGUGACUCGUCACACUAUCAUUAACUGAAUCCAUAGGUUAAUGAGGCGAACCGGGGAACUGAAACAUCUAAGUACCCCGAGGAAAAGAAAUCAACCGAGAUUCCCCAGUAGCGGCGAGCGAACGGGGAGGAGCCCAGAGCCUGAAUCAGCAUGUGUGUUAGUGGAAGCGUCUGGAAAGGCGCGCGAUACAGGGUGACAGCCCCGUACACAAAAGCGCAUGUGCUGUGAGCUCGAUGAGUAGGGCGGGACACGUGGUAUCCUGUCUGAAUAUGGGGACCAUCCUCCAAGGCUAAAUACUCCUGACUGACCGAUAGUGAACCAGUACCGUGAGGGAAAGGCGAAAAGAACCCCGGCGAGGGGAGUGAAAAAGAACCUGAAACCGUGUACGUACAAGCAGUGGGAGCACAGGUUUACCUGUGUGACUGCGUACCUUUUGUAUAAUGGGUCAGCGACUUAUAUUCUGUAGCAAGGUUAACCGAAUAGGGAGCCGGAGGGAAACCGAGUCUUAACCGGGCGUUAAGUUGCAGGGUAUAGACCCGAAACCCGGUGAUUCAGCCAUGGGCAGGUUGAAGGUUGGGUAACACUAACUGGAGGACCGAACCGACUAAUGUUGAAAAAUUAGCGGAUGACCUGUGGCUGGGGUGAAAGGCCAAUCAAACCGGGAGAUAGCUGGUUCUCCCCGAAAGCUAUUUAGGUAGCGCCUCGUGAAUUCAUCUCCGGGGUAGAGCACUGUUUCGGCUAGGGGGCCAUCCCGGCUUACCAACCCGAUGCAAACUGCGAAUACCGGAGAAUGUUAUCACGGGAGACACACGGCGGGUGCUAACGUCCGUCGUGAAGAGGGAAACAACCCAGACCGCCAGCUAAGGUCCCAAAGUCAUGGUUAAGUGGGAAACGAUGUGGGAAGGCCCAGACAGCCGUGAUGUUGGCUUAGAAGCAGCCAUCAUUUAAAGAAAGCGUAAUAGCUCACUGGUCGAGUCGGCCUGCGCGGAAGAUGUAACGGGCUAAACCAUGCACCGAAGCUGCGGCAGCGACGCUGAUGCGUUGUUGGGUAGGGGAGCGUUCUGUAAGCCUGCGAAGGUGGCCUGUGAGGGUUGCUGGAGGUAUCAGAAGUGCGAAUGCUGACAUAAGUAACGAUAAAGCGGGUGAAAAGCCCGCUCGCCGGAAGACCAAGGGUUCCUGUCCAACGUUAAUCGGGGCAGGGGUGAGUCGACCCCUAAGGCGAGGCCGAAAGGCGUAGUCGAUGGGAAACGGGUUAAUAUUCCCGUACUUGGUGUUACUGCGAAGGGGGGACGGAGAAGGCUAUGUUGGCCGGGCGACGGUUGUCCCGGUUUAAGCGUGUAGGCUGGUUUUCCGUGCAAAUCCGGAAAAUCAAGGCUGAGGCGUGAUGACGAGGCACUACGGUGCUGAAGCAACAAAUGCCCUGCUUCCGUGAAAGCCUCUAAGCAUCAGGUAACAUCAAAUCGUACCCCAAACCGACACAGGUGGUCAGGUAGAGAAUACCAAGGCGCUUGAGAGAACUCGGGUGAAGGAACUAGGCAAAAUGGUGCCGUAACUUCGGGAGAAGGCACGCUGACACGUAGGUGAAGUGAUUUACUCAUGGAGCUGAAGUCAGUCGAAGAUACCAGCUGGCUGCAACUGUUUAUUAAAAACACAGCACUGUGCAAACACGAAAGUGGACGUAUACGGUGUGACGCCUGCCCGGUGCCGGAAGGUUAAUUGAUGGGGUCAGCGCAAGCGAAGCUCCUGAUCGAAGCCCCGGUAAACGGCGGCCGUAACUAUAACGGUCCUAAGGUAGCGAAAUUCCUUGUCGGGUAAGUUCCGACCUGCACGAAUGGCGUAAUGAUGGCCGGGCUGUUCCACCCGAGACUCAGUGAAAUUGAACUCGCUGUGAAGAUGCAGUGUACCCGCGGCAAGACGGAAAGACCCCGUGAACCUUUACUAUAGCUUGACACUGAACAUUGAGCCUUGAUGUGUAGGAUAGGUGGGAGGCUUUUGAAGUGUGGACGCCAGUCUGCAUGGAGCCGACCUUGAAAUACCACCCUUUAAUGUUUGAUGUUCUAACGUGGACCCGUUACCCGGGUUGCGGACAGUGUCUGGUGGGUAGUUUGACUGGGGCGGUCUCCUCCUAAAGAGUAACGGAGGAGCACGAAGGUUGGCUAAUCCCCGGUCGGACAUCAGGAGGUUAGUGCAAUGGCAUAAGCCAGCCUGACUGCGAGCGUGACGGCGCGAGCAGGUGCGAAAGCAGGUCAUAGUGAUCCGGUGGUUCUGAAUGGAAGGGCCAUCGCUCAACGGAUAAAAGGUACUCCGGGGAUAACAGGCUGAUACCGCCCAAGAGUUCAUAUCGACGGCGGUGUUUGGCACCUCGAUGUCGGCUCAUCACAUCCUGGGGCUGAAGUAGGUCCCAAGGGUAUGGCUGUUCGCCAUUUAAAGUGGUACGCGAGCUGGGUUUAGAACGUCGUGAGACAGUUCGGUCCCUAUCUGCCGUGGGCGCUGGAGAACUGAGGGGGGCUGCUCCUAGUACGAGAGGACCGGAGUGGACGCAUCACUGGUGUUCGGGUUGUCAUGCCAAUGGCACUGCCCGGUAGCUAAAUGCGGAAGAGAUAAGUGCUGAAAGCAUCUAAGCACGAAACUUGCCCCGAGAUGAGUUCUCCCUGAGACUUAGAGUCUCCUGAAGGAACGUUGAAGACGACGACGUUGAUAGGCCGGGUGUGUAAGCGCAGCGAUGCGUUGAGCUAACCGGUACUAAUGAACCGUGAGGCUUAACCUUACAACGCCGAAG
rnacentral:rRNA from 1 species